rnacentral:rRNA from 1 species
AGUGAACGCUGGCGGUAGGCCUAACACAUGCAAGUCGAACGGCAGCACAGUAAGAGCUUGCUCUUACGGGAGGCGAGUGGCGGACGGGUGAGGAAUACAUCGGAAUCUACUUUUUCGUGGGGGAUAACGUAGGGAAACUUACGCUAAUACCGCAUACGACCUACGGGUGAAAGCAGGGGAUCUUCGGCCCUUGCGCGAUUGAAUGAGCCGAUGUCGGAUUAGCUAGUUGGCGGGGUAAAGGCCCACCAAGGCGACGAUCCGUAGCUGGUCUGAGAGGAUGAUCAGCCACACUGGAACUGAGACACGGUCCAGACUCCUACGGGAGGCAGCAGUGGGGAAUAUUGGACAAUGGGCGCAAGCCUGAUCCAGCCAUACCGCGUGGGUGAAGAAGGCCUUCGGGUUGUAAAGCCCUUUUGUUGGGAAAGAAAAGCAGCAGGUUAAUACCCCGCUGUUCUGACGGUACCCAAAGAAUAAGCACCGGCUAACUUCGUG